UACGUAGGGCGCAAGCGUUGUCCGGAAUUAUUGGGCGUAAAGAGCUCGUAGGCGGUCUGUCGCGUCUGUUGUGAAAACUCGAGGCUCAACCUCGAGACGCCGGUGGAAACCGUAAGGCUAGAGUCCGGAAGAGGAGAGUGGAAUUCCUGGUGUAGCGGUGAAAUGCGCAGAUAUCAGGAGGAACACCCGUGGCGAAAGCGGCUCUCUGGGACGGUACUGACGCUGAGACGCGAAAGCGUGGGGAGCAAACAGG
rnacentral:rRNA from 1 species